rnacentral:lncRNA from 1 species
GGGCCAUCAAUGCAAGCUCUAGAUACCUUAAUAAAUUUUUAUACCAAUAGUUUAAAAUAUCAAUUUUACUAUGUAUAUCAUAUUUAUUACGUUCUUCCAAAUACAUAUUUGGUGGAGAUUUUUUCAUAUUGAGAACUGGAUAGUUGGCUCAUAAAUUGUUUGUAAUCACUAAAGUCAAUAUCAUCAUCAUGAAUUUUGAUUGAAGAUCCAAUAUUAGAUAAAGCGGUGGAAGCAUUUCUUUGAUACUCAUCAAACAAAUUAUAAAAGAUUGUUAUAAUCAUUUUAUAUGUACUUCAGCACUCUCACUAUAAAGCUUGAUGAAAUAAUUGAAGC